CCAGAUCUUGUGAGCCAACCCAAACCUGGCUGGGCUCAGAGAUGGAUGAUAUGUUAUCCGGGAGCUGGGCCCUGUUCCUGUCUGAAUGGAUUCAGGAAAUGCAGGUGUACCAUUGACGAGGUUCCCGCUCAAGGUUAUGAGGCUGUAAUGAGAACACAUCCGAAUCCCCCCCAGGAGAGGCUGCCAAGAUCCUGGAGGAGGGGGAAAGAGUGUCUGGAGAAGGAGGUGGCUGUGACCGAGAUAAGCUCCAGCCUUCCACAGCUGUCAAUCAGGGAUUUAGAGGGACUUAGAUUACCAGCUGACUGCUUCUAGACAUCUUCAUCCCUCUCCUCUAUCCAGUCUCCAUCAAUGCCUCCUCCUCUCGGAAGCCUUCCUGAAGUCCAUCAGGCAGACAUGGGCACUUUUUAUAGGAAUGAAUUCUACUUGAGACCAAAGCCCUUGAUUUCUUCACUUGGCAUUCUCAGUGCCUGGCAAAGCGCCUGAUGCAAGAUUUUUGAGCAGAGAGCCAAGCAGCAAGGCUGAACACGCAUGAACACAGUUGACUGCUGUCACCAAAUGCAGCUUGCAACGAACUUAAUUUGAAGCAUAUUUCACAAUGUUCAGAGUUCUUCUUGUGCUGCAGAGCAGUUAGUGUAAAUGGUAAACAGUCACGUGAAAGGUGGAGUCACAUUCACCUUGUCAAACCAGGACUUUUCUCUUGUCCUUCUUUCUUCAGUAUCAUUUGUAUCAGGGUCAAUAAUUUACCUUUAACUUGUUCUAUAUAAUCAAGACACAGGUAUGGACACACAUACAUACACACACAAACACACGCACACGAAAAUGGUGACCGAGUCAACUCAAAAGCUAACACAUCCUGUGCCCCAGACCCAAAUCCUCUUCUCUGCAUGACUCAAAUCUCUGCUCCUCUCCCUCCAGCUCAGCCCUCUCCACAGUCUGCUCCUGUGGUCCUUCGGUCUCGGGAAUACCUGAUCUGUACAUACCUGGUUCUCCCCCCCAGGCUGAUCGCUUAGAUGCCUGAGAGUCCGAGGAAAAGGCAAAGGAAAUCUAAAUAGGAAUUGAGUAUCAGGACUUGGAUAAGCGUUUUAUAUAUGGAUGAUCUCAUUUCAAUUUUUCAAGAACCUAGCCAGUCUGACAUUGCACAUAUUUUUAUAAACACAGAAGUUGAAGUUUAAAGAGUGAUUUGCUCAGGGUGACAAAGGUAGUAAGUGGUGAAACUGGCCAGGAGUCCAGACUCCAAAUUCCAUGGCAACACAGAAAAACUCUUGAGAAUGGGGUUGCAGAUAGCCCCUGCUGUUUAGUCUGAGAGAGUGUAAUAGGCAUUGCUUAUUUCUGACCAACACCUUAUCCCCUGGGAUCCUACCCAUCUUCUCCUCCAUGUGAUUCCGUUAGAGCUGGAAAUUAUUGAUCCUUCUUUAAUCAUGCUUCAGGGUUGUCCAAGCCUAGUACUGCAUUCCUCCACCAAGUCUAAGAGGUCCAAAGGGUGGGCAUAAGAGCCAGCAUUCAUCUCUGAAAAAUGAUAAAUGGACUAUAGGACAAAGCUUCCUCUUUCUACUGAGUUUGCUAAGCUGGAACAAUGCAAUUCUGAAGCUGC
ensembl:lncRNA